rnacentral:tRNA from 1 species
GUGGGAUAGUGGCUCAGUGGUAGAGCGCUUGCCUAGCAUGCGCAGGGCCCUGGGUUCGAUCCUCAGCACUACA